AUAUGCAAGUUCCGGUUCCGGUCAUGUGAAUUUUACGUUAGGCUCUGUAAAAAGGGCAAGACCCGUAAAAAGUGCAAGUCUUAUAUUGUUUUGCAAUGACUUUGGUAUUUAAUUGGAGAAAAACAUCACUAAUAAAGAGGGUCGACGUUCGUUUCUUCAAGAUUGGGCAAAAAAACAUUACAAUGCGGUUCGCAGUGCGCAGGCUACUGUCCCCCUUCAAGAGCACCCAGGUCAUACAAGCUGAACACGGUUGACCUGCACACCUAACAGUGGAAAUAAUGAAACAAGUGAUCACACAUCCACCCACUUUCUGCCCGGAACAACAGUUACAGUUACACUCUGAGAUAAGAACUGAACAGUCAAAACCGCAUAGCAGAUAUUUUUGACCUAAUCAAACACUGGUUAGUCACACACGUUUUAAGACAC